rnacentral:ncRNA from 1 species
GCUUAGAGGCUGUUAGAAUUAUGAACACAGCCAGCGAUGCCCAUGCAUGGACGCAUGGGCAAGGCGUUAUGCGCCAUGGAAGGCGCGUAAAAGCCGGUCGCGUCAAGCAUAGAAAACCUAAAUCAUAAUUCAUACAGCCUCUUAGC